GGGUGGGGGAGUUUCCCUUGGGCUUAUGCAGUGCAGUGGGGUGGGGCUGGAAACAGCACUGGGAGGGGCUGAGCAGAAGCCACAGCGGGGCAGAACAAAGGCCUGGAGACUGGAGCGAGCUGCGUUCUUGGGGGUGGGGGGUGGGGCGGCAGCUGGAGAGUGGGGGCUUCCCCAGCGGGAGAGGGAGGACGAUUCUGGAUGGCUUCCCUCCUUGUGGACAGAGUGAGUCUCUGCUAUGAGAAAGUAGAGACGGGGUUUCACCGUCUUAGCCAGGAUGGUCUCGAUCUCCUGACCUCGUGAUCCGCCCGCCUCGGCCUCCCAAAGUGCUAGGACUAACAGGCGUGAGCCACCGCACCCGGCCAAGCUGGAUCUUAAGCUUGCUUACCGGUGACUUGUUGACCUCAUCUUGGCUCAAAGAAGACACGGCCCCAGACCCGUGUUGGAGCCACACUGCCCGGGACAGCCCUGAAGCAGCCACGUCCCCACCUUUCAGGAGUCGGCCAAGAGCACGGUGGCUGCAGAAGGCCCUGGCUGAUGGAGAUAACAUUUGACAAACAGGUGCUUUUCCAAUUAUGGAUAACAACAGAAAAGCAGUCAUUGGUUUCUAAAAGGUCAUCAAGAUAUAAAGCCCGUUUGGGAAGGGAAUGACUUACGCAGUGGGCUUGUAUAAAUCUGGAGAAGUUUUAUGCACAAGUCGGACAAGAAAUGUGUUCUACAUACGGCUCGGGAGCCAGCAAGUGCGUAUGAAGCCCCUUCACAUGGCUAGUGGCAUCCUAAGGACCCGGCGACAAUUAGUCAUGGCGUCAUCGAACACCAGGCUGGAGGAGGUCUUGGAUGCCACAGCUCCUUUUGAAUUUCAAAGACGUUCAAAUCCCCAUCUGGCUGUUACACUUUUAGGCUAUUGAGAGUGAAAACAAGCACUGACAUGAACACCCAACCAGCUGCCGGUGACAUCGUCCCCUUCUGAGAUCUGAGGACAUGGAUACCCAACCACCUGCCGGUGACAUCGUCUCCUUCUGAGAUCUGAGGACAUGAACACCCAACCACCUGCCGGUGAUAUCGUCCCCUUCUGAGAUCUGAGGACGUGGAUAUCCAACCACCUGCCGGUGACAUUGUCUCCUUCUGAGAUCUGAGGACAUGGACACCAAACCACCUGCCGGUGACAUUGUCUCCUUCUGAGAUCUGAGGACAUGAACACCAAACCACCUGCCAGUGACAUCGUCCCCUUCUGAGAUCUGAGGACAUGGAUACCCAACCACCUGCCGGUGACAUCGUCUCCUUCUGAGAUCUGAGGACAUGGACACCCAACCACCUGCCGGUGACAUCGUCUCCUUCUGAGAUCUGAGGACAUGAACACCCAACCACCUGCCGGUGAUAUCGUCCCCUUCUGAGAUCUGAGGACGUGGAUAUCCAACCACCUGCCGGUGACAUUGUCUCCUUCUGAGAUCUGAGGACAUGGACACCAAACCACCUGCCGGUGACAUUGUCUCCUUCUGAGAUCUGAGGACAUGAACACCAAACCACCUGCCAGUGACAUCGUCCCCUUCUGAGAUCUGAGGACAUGGAUACCCAACCACCUGCCGGUGACAUCAUCUUCUUCUGAGAUCUGAGGACAUGGACACCCAACCACCUGCCGGUGACAUCGUCUCCUUCUGAGAUCUGAGGACAUGGACACCAAACCACCUGCCGGUGACAUCGUCUCCUUCUGAGAUCUGAGGACAUGAACACCCAACCACCUGCCGGUGAUAUCGUCCCCUUCUGAGAUCUGAGGACGUGGAUAUCCAACCACCUGCCGGUGACAUUGUCUCCUUCUGAGAUCUGAGGACAUGGACACCAAACCACCUGCUGGUGACAUUGUCUCCUUCUGAGAUCUGAGGACAUGAACACCAAACCACCUGCCAGUGACAUCGUCCCCUUCUGAGAUCUGAGGACAUGGAUACCCAACCACCUGCCGGUGACAUCAUCUUCUUCUGAGAUCUGAGGACAUGGACACCCAACCACCUGCCGGUGACAUCGUCUCCUUCUGAGAUCUGAGGACAUGGACACCAAACCACCUGCCGGUGACAUCGUCUCCUUCUGAGAUCUGAGGACAUGAACACCCAACCACCUGCCGGUGACAUCGUCCCCUUCUGAGAUCUGAGGACAUUGAUACCCAGCCACCUGCCGGUGACAUCGUCUCCUUCUGAGAUCUGAGGAUAUGGACACCAAACCACCUGCCGGUGACAUCGUCUCCUUCUGAGAUCUGAGGACAUGAACACCCAACCACCUGCCGGUGACAUCGUCCCCUUCUGAGAUCUGAGGACAUGGAUACCCAACCACCUGCCGGUGACAUCGUCUCCUUCUGAGAUCUGAGGACAUGGACACCCAACCUGCUGCUGGUGACAUCGUUCCCUUCUGAGAUCUGAGGACAUGGACACCAAACCACCUGCCAGUGACAUCGUCUCCUUCUGAGAUCUGAGGACAUGGACACCAAACCUGCUGCCGGUGACAUCGUCCCCUUCUGAGAUCUGAGGACAUGGACACCCAACCACCUGCCGGUGACAUCGUCUCCUUCUGAGGUCUGAGGACAGACACUCACAUGGACACCUAAACACCUGCCGAUGAUAUUGUCUCCUUCUGAAAUCUGAGGACAUGGACACCCAACCAGCUGCUGGUGACAUCAUCUCCUUCUGAGAUCUGAGGACAGACACUCACAUAGACGCCCAAUCAGCUGCUGGUGACAUUGUCUCCUUCUGAAAUCUGAGGGUUGGAACACAUUGGCCUGGCUCAGUGUUUCUCCAUGUGGUUUUGAGACCACCUGAGUUGGAACCGAUAUGGGUUCCCAGCCUCACGCCUGGAGAGCUGGAUUUUGCGAGUGUGAGGUUAGGUCCAGCAUCUGCAUGUGUAACGAGCUCCCAGGUGUUUCGUAGAUGCAUUAGGGCUUGAGAAGCUCCUUUCUAGCACCAUCUUCCUUUUUGCGCAUGAGGGAGUUCAGGUCCAGAGAAAUAAAGCAGCAAGGUUAGUGGCACAGCUGGCGCCCCCUGCUUUCUAGGAAUUUAGAAUAUUAUUGAAGAGAGAGGUAUUAGAACCUGUGAAGUCAAUACAGAGACCUCCAGGCGAGUGGCAUCCUCACUGAAACCACUGACAAGUAUGCUGAAUAGAAAGUGUCAUUUCUCCUGGAAGACCCUCAGUGACCCAGCUGGAGGGUCUCUCCUACUCAUCAGCUGUCCCUCACUCUGCCAUUUCAG
rnacentral:lncRNA from 10 species